GUUGACUUCGUGCCAUGAGGCGUGUAGAUAUGGUGGUUUCAAGUGUUAAUGUGAGUGCCGGGUUGGUAAUCGUGUGCGGUCGGUUAGUGAAUACAGAGGUUCGUGCCGCUGGCUCAACCUGGGAACUGCCUUUGUGACUGCAUAGCUAGAGUACGGCAGAGUGGGAUGGAAGUCCGCGUGUAGCAGUGAAAUGCGUAGAUAUGCGGAGGAACACCGAUGUCGAAGGCAAUCCCCUGGGCCUGUACUGACGCUCAUGCACGAAAGCGUUGGGAGCAAACAGGAUUAGAUACCCCUGUAGUC
rnacentral:rRNA from 1 species